AAGAGGGAGCAGGACUGGCUGCCUUGCAGGUAGAGGGCAGUAAGCACCUGGGACUUAACAGUGCUGCAGGCAGAGACCCAGGGAGCUAAAGGCAGUUCCUGGUGGGCUGCAGGGAUCUGCAGGCUGAGGCCCUAAAGCAAGAGCAAGGGGGGGUGCUGGGGCUGCGGGGAAGUAGCCCAGGGAGGUUUUUCAGAGGAGAUGCAGCAGGUGGUGGCCAUCUAGAGGGGCUGAGACCCAGAGGAGUGGGCAGGGCCCAGGUCUCCCCCCCACACUUCUAUUUGACUCUGAGGAAGUGGCUGCAGUGAAGAAUGGCAGUAUUGUCCCCUAGAAGGGGGGAACACAGAGUGUGGCACAGCUGGUGUGCUGUGUAAUGAAGAGGAUGCUGCGGUCCUGGGAGUAACGUGGGUCUCUGGAGCAGAAACGACAGUGGCAAGACCAGAGGAGAUCGUACUGGCAUACAGAGUUAAUCCCCAGGACAGCCAGAAGGAGGUGCCACAGUGUUUUCAGAUGCUGUUAGUUCCCGAUAUAAAGAGAUCUGGGUGAGCUCCCACUGGCAACUGCUGGGUCCUGCUGGUAUGGUACCAAAACGUUACCUGCUAGUGCAGGCCUCCUCAGCAGGAUGAGUUACAGAAUGAUGAGCCGGUGCCUGAUGCUGCUGCUGGUUUUCCACUGGGCUUCAAAAACAGCAGAAGCCCAAGAACAUAGAACUGUUGGUACAGGCUCUUCAGUGCUGUUGACGGCAUUGCCCACCAAUGACCAAACAGUCAUAAACCAUAUACAGUGGGAAUACAUAAGUAGUGGCUCAGCUCUCGGUGUUGUGGAUUACUAUGGAACUGGAACAGAACCAAUUAUCUUUAAAUCCUAUAAAGACAGAGUCAUUUUCUAUUCAUCCAAUGGCUCCCUCUUGUUGAAAAACGUACAAGAGACAGACAGCGGGACCUACAGCGCUACCGUCAAUUUGAACAAAAUUAAAGCCAGGCAAACUACACUACUAGUCUUAGAUGCCCAGCUUGGACUUUUAAAUGUGUAUAUAAUCUCACUCUUCCCACCACCGCCCCCCCCAGAGCCUAUGUCCAAAGCUCAGAUACAGAUAAACUCUACUGUGGCCGGUUCAUCCAUUGAAUUAUCCUGCAAGGUGCUGGUUGGCAAAGUGCAAGCUAUUGACUGGAAGAAAGAUGGGAAGCCCCUACCCAGGAACAGAUGUUACCAGGUCUCUGAAAACUUCAGUCUUUUGUACAUACCAGAAGCACAGAAAUCAGAUUGUGGAUCCUUUUCCUGCAAUGCCAGCAAUGAUAUAAGCUGGCAGGAAACCUCAGUGAAUUUGACCAUUGAAGGGAUCAGGCCUUCACUAAAGCAUGCACUGAAAAUUUCUACUGUUGCUCUUGCUAUUGCAACAACAUUGGCUGCUGGAUCUGGAUUGGGCUUCAUUAUCUUGUGCUGUCAGUCAGAGAAGAGAAAACUUACAGGAGAGCAGUGGAGAUGGCUUGUUGUAUUCAUCCAUGGGCUGGUGUGUGUCUCGGCCAUCCUGAUGUUCACGGCUGCUGUCCUCUGGAUGUGGGAAGAAGGUUUCUUCACAGCUCUUGUAUUGUAUAUGAUCGUCCUCAUGUGGGUGAUCAUGGUAACGCUUCUCAUAAGUGCGAUCUUGGCAAUUUGUCCCCAACACCUUGGGAUGUUUAAAAAGAAAACAAUGCACCGCGUCAUUCUGGAUACUGCAGCUCCUGGGGGAGUGAUUCUAGUUAUGAUGUUUGCCAUCUUCCUUACACAAAACAUCCAGCAUCUCCAAAGAAAAGGCUGCUCACCAUUUUUUGACAGCACAGCUGUCAUCCUUAUCGCUGCUGCAAUUUCUCUCCUUAUUCUUCUGGUGCUCUUUGUGUGGUAUCACAGGAAGAAAAAAAACGAAGAAAAGGAUCAGCAAGAAAGAGAAGCUGCAGGAGUAAGGAUGCAGUGCCCCAGAAAACCUUUUCAUUGGACUUUGAAAAAUUUUUCAUUGGUUCUCCAUAGUACAACAAAAAUGGAGAGAUCUGUUAAUUCAGCCAGGACUUUUCUGAGCUUCCAGUACUUCAAAAAACUUUACAACUGCUUGUGUAAAUAUACAGAGUUUUACACACACACACACACACACACACACAGGACUAUUGUUUAACAUUUCCCAGUAAAACAUUACGUCUUUUUAGGCCAGGAAGGGAAGAAUUUCACAUGCAAUUGAAAAGCUGAGAAUUUCUGGAAGCAAAAUGUAAUGAAAGAAGAUGGACUGUAGCCAGGAUGGAGGGAUCAUCUCUGCUGCUUUUCUAGUGGCACUCGUUACAUUUUUCAUGACCUGGCAGAGAGGAGUUCUGAAUUUUGCCUCUGCUCUGCGUGACAAUGCAUCUAGGAUCACAAUGCCUCCAACGCCAUCCCUGGCCAUCAGUGCAAUUCUGAUGUCAAGCUAGAUUGUAGAAGGUGGCAAUACUCUAUUUCUUGCCCAGCCUCCUGCAACUCAACAACAGCCUCUUCCUCUUGGAAGGAAUUGCAUGCCAUACAGAAACACCAAUGCUAGUUCUGGCAGCACUUGUUUACUUCCUGGAGCUGGUCUCAUCAAGAGCUCUCGUUCCCUCUGCUGUCCAAGGAAGUGUCAUGCAUAGGCUCCUGGAAGAUGUCCCUUUGUUGUCCAGGCCUGGAGAUAAGCUAUAACAGUCCUUGGAUGGCCAGAGCUGCAGAACUGACCAGCCAGCAAACAUGGUUGAAGGGAUGCUUGAGGUGAUAGCUAACACAGCAAAACAAAUUUCAAACAUUUUCAUUGCUUUCCUAUGUAGAUACAGUUAAAUGAGAGUCCAGAAGCGGAAAGCCAGGAAUGAAAGGUAUGUAUCCUCCAGGUAAGUGGUUCUCAGGUGUGAUUACGAGACAGUAUUAAGUGUAUCAGAAUUUAGAAUGCAACAUGGUUUCUGCUUAAAACUGAAUUAGUCCUCCUUCCAAAGAUACAAUGAUCUGCUUCAAAUUUGGAAUGCCAAUUCAAGACCGAGGGUAGAGUUUGUAAUACAAAUUUGGAGUCUUGUAGCCAUGUGUUUGUGACAGAGCCACCCUCAAAACAGGACCCAUGAAAAUAAGGUCAUUUCUUGUGUGUGAAGAGAUAAGGAUUGAUCAGGAGACAAGAGAUACUUGGAGGGAAGAUGAUCUCUUCUCCCCCUGCUUCCUCCCGCCCCUCCCCCAAACAGUGUGUUCUAGAAGAAAGUCACUUACAGAACAAUGGGGACUGCGGGAAGCGGCGUGGGCCGAGGGAUGUGCUGGCCACUGCUUCCCGCAGCCCCUAUUGGCCUGGAACGGUGACCCAAGGCCAGUGGGAGCUGCGAUUGGCCGAACCUGCAGAUGCUGCAGGUAAACAAAUCAUCCCAGCUCGCCAGCGGAUUUCCCUGGUGGGCUGCGUGCCAAAGGUUGCCAAUUUCUGAAGUAGACUAUAUAAAAGUGGCACCUUAUUCAGCAGUUCUGCCUUUUUUUCCUGUAAACUGAGCACAUUCGAUAGGGAAUCACUGAGGUUAUGUUUACAUUGCAAUUAUAAAAACAAAAACCCUGUACCAAGUUGCAGCACCCAGCUACAUUGACUUGAGCUUUCAGGGCUACAAAUAGUAGUGUAGACAUUGGGGGUCUGGGCUCUGAGACCCACCCCUCUCAUGAGCCCAAGUCAGCUGAGCUGGCCCAGCUGCAGACAUGCUGUGGGUCUUUUAUUGCAUUGUAGAUGUACCCUGAGAGUCAGUCACUUUUCAGAGUAGAAUCAUGCUCUGCUCACCAUGCUUAAUGUACCCAUGGGCUGGUAAUAGAUCGCUAGAAGGUACAAGAUUUCAUGGUUUGAGAAUUUGGAAGAUGAGAUGGGGGAAAAUCCUCCAAACUACCUGUCAGCUUCACUGUGAGUUUGGAAGACUUACACAGAAGUUUCUUCAGACUUCUUUCCAAAGAUUUUCUUCGGAAUAAUUCAUCUUCAUUCAUUCUCUACUGAGGUAAAUGAAGAACUCAUUCCCCAUGUUCAUUCAUUCCUGAUCUUUCUCACAUUAUUCCUUCAACUGAUCUCGAUCAGGGUUAGAAAUAGACCAGUUUUCCCCAAAAAUCUCAUUUUGAGCUUGAAAUGGACCCGCAGCUUUGCUGCUCAAGUUUAUGGUAAGUAUGAGUGAGAGUGGGAAAAUGUGUGUGUUGUGUUGGGACAGUUGUUAGUUUGUGCAGGUAAUAAAUGAGGAGUGUAUGCUGUGGUGAGGGUCUGUGUGUGUUUGCUGUGUUUUGUAUGUAGAAAGAGUUGGGCUGGGAGAUUUGUAUUGUGAGCACGUGACAGUUGGGCUCAAAGAUUGGGUAGUUGGUCCACCUUCUGUGCAGUCUCCCUCAUACAAUCAAUGAAAUUGCUGCAUGCAGAGUAGCUGUAGAAUAAGGGUGGUGAUUUGUUGUAUUACCCUGACAUCACAAUGGUCUAGGACUCUUGGCAUGGCACAGACAUUCCAUACUGUAGCUGUACACUGCACAAGUGUAAUUUGGAAAGUCAAAAUGGCAGAGAACUUAAAAAUGGGAUAUUAACAGAUUGCAAAUCUCAGUGGUUAUUACUCCAGGUGAUAUUCUGAAUAAAGUGCUCUCAGCCACGAUUGCAGCUGUUUCCAUUGCUUCACACUGACUCAGAGUAGGCUCCAGCAUGACAAUCCUAUUAUAUAGACUUUCAAAAUUUGAUUGUCGUAAGGUUUCUCUCACUUAUCUUGUCACUGAGUGCAAGAAACUAAAUAAUAUCUGAGGAGAGCUGGGGUGUGUGUGUGUGUGUGUGCCUUUUAGCCCCCUCCCCUUCCUUUUGCAAAUCUGUAGCUUUUCAAAACUUAAACUUUUACUAAAAGUUAUGGCAUGGCAGAAGAAAAAGUGAAACGUUACAAAGUGGUGUAGUUUCAUUGUUCUUGUUGCCACUUUUCUGAAUUUCAGCUUUGAUUCUGCAGCCAUCUUUCACAUGCUUAACUUUGCUAGUGGGAGUGAUGCAAUGAUUUCAAUGGAACUACUCAGAGUAAUAAUGUUAAGUACAUUCAUAGGUGUUUGUAGGAUUGGAGCCGUAGAGUAUUCGGAAAAGUUGUAUCAAAAGGGAAAAAGUGAAAAACCACAGCCCCUCAAAACAAAAUCUUAGCAUUAAUUCUGUUUCACUCAGUGGCAAAGGAACAAGAAAGUGGGUGGGAGACUGCAGUCUCAAAUUUUAAAAAAGCCCACUUUUGAGGAAAAAGAGAAGAGGAAGAUAUGGAGUGGUUUUUGUAUUUAAUUGUUUUUCUCACCUCUUCCAGUGAGGAAGGAGGAAAAGUGUUUGGUUUUUAAGUGAUAAAAACAGGAAGGAAAGUCUGAAAACAAGUGUAUUAUUUCAGUGGCCGAAAAGUAAAACAAAAUGAAAAGUGCAAUUUAAAAGUAAACUAAAUUAAACUUUUCCAUCUCAUUUCAAAGGGGAGGACAGAGGUGAACAGCUAGAAUGAGGUGUGUCUUGAAAAGGGGUGUGUGAGUGCAAGGAUUAGGGAGGAGAUAGUGGUGAGGCUUACUCCAGUGUUUGCUGGGCAGAAAGGUGGAAAAAUCCUAUACAGAUGGCCUUUUGUGGGUGGAUUGUGUGAUAUGUAUUCAUAGAUUCCAAGGCCAGAAGGGACCAUUGUGGUCGUCUAGUCUGACUGCCUGUAUGACACAGGCCCUAGAACUUUCCCAAAAUAAUUCCUAGAGCACAUCUUUUAGAACAACAUCUAAAACAUGUUGGUGUGUUGUGAGCAUGCUGGUGUGCUGAUGGUGCAAAGGUGUGUUAGAGGAGUGUGCAUUUUGGUGUGUGAUUGUGUAUGUGUGUGGGAAGGGGUGUUUGGUACAAUGCUCUGUGAUAUUUUUACAAAAGGAAUGAAAACUCCUUAAUGGCAUAAUAGAAGAUAGGCUGGAGAGCCUGAAAGCUGGAGCCAACGAAUUCUGAUAGAGGUUUUUAUAUUUUUUUAUUUGAAUAUAUAUUCCAUAUAAAAUCUUCUUGAUAUCUUAUACUUAGCUUUUUAUCUUUUGAAAAUGUACUGGGUUUAUUGGGUUGGUGUGGAUUUUAUUUUCAAAGCUAAGCAGUGUGCAUGUUCCCCUUAGCCUGCUUUCCAUUGCCAUAUCACUGUGGCUUGCCAUAAAUAGAAACAGUGGUUGCUAAUUUCUAUUUUGGUAAAAAUGGCUGAUCAUUGCUUUGUCACCAGCUGAUCUUUGGUAACCCAAGCCCAGAUUCUCAAAGGCAUUUAGAUCAUGGGGGUUAGGCACCUUUGAGAAUCUGGACCCCAGUUUAUGUAUUACCAGGACAUUUAAAAAAAAUCGUUCUGCUCUCUCUUUUGCUUAUAACAUAUAUUUGUAUUUUUCAUGUAAUACUUUAGUUUUUUGUUUUGGUCUCCUGGGCAUUUUUCCGAUCGCUGCCUAGAGGGUCAGAAAGGAAUUUCCCAGAGUUUUUUCCCUCUUUAAAAAGAGGGGUUUUCCCUCUGGGUUUUUGCCUUUCUCAGGAGAACUACUGAGGACUAAAAAUAUAUUUUGUGUUUGACUCAGUUAAUUUAUUGAUAAUUUGACUCAAUAAAUUCACUGCCAGUUGGGCUCAAUAAAAAACUUUCAUUUUUAUAACUGA